rnacentral:rRNA from 1 species
UAGAGUUUGAUCAUGGCUCAGGACGAACGCUGGCGGCGUGCCUAACACAUGCAAGUCGAACGAGCAAAAUAGGAGUGCUUGCACAAAUAUUUUGCUAGUGGCGGACGGGUGAGUAACGCGUGAGGAACCUGCCUUUAUCAGGGGAAUAACAUCGAGAAAUCGAUGCUAAUACCGCAUAAGACCACGGAGCCGCAUGGCUUUGGGGUAAAAGGAGCAAUCCGGAUAAAGAUGGACUCGCGUCCCAUUAGAUAGUUGGCGGGGUAAAGGCCCACCAAGUCGACGAUGGGUAGCCGGACUGAGAGGUUGAACGGCACACUGGGACUGAGACACGGCCCAGACUCCUACGGGAGGCAGCAGUGGGGAAUAUUGCGCAAUGGGGGAAACCCUGACGCAGCAACGCCGCGUGAGAGAAGAAGGUUUUCGGAUUGUAAAUCUCUGUCCUAUGGGAAGAAAAAAUGACGGUACCAUAGGAGGAAGCCCCGGCUAACUACGUGCCAGCAGCCGCGGUAAUACGUAGGGGGCGAGCGUUGUCCGGAAUUACUGGGCGUAA